rnacentral:piRNA from 1 species
UGGCCCUAUGUGUUUCAAGAAUUGAUCCCC